UCGGCUCCCGCCCCUUCUGGGCAGCGCAUCCUUUCCUGCCGGUCCCCCGCUCGCCAGCUGCUGGACAGGAAACAGGCAGGAAACGCGCGGCCAGCCAAGGUCCUGAGGGAGGGGGUGCGGCCCUGGCAGACGCAGGUCCCCUCAACGCACACCCGCGUCCACAGCACCAGGGGUUUAACGAAGGACGAGCGAGCAAUCUCCUGACACUUCACCUUCAAUCACUCCUACUCGUGUCAUUUUCUUCAGGGAGACCACAAAAAUAAGUCCUUGAAGUGGCACAGUAUGUGGGCUGUAAACUUGCUUUCCCAAAUGUCACUAAAGAGUUUCAAAAGAACAUAGUUCAGAAUAUACCAUUUGACAGCAAAACGAAUAUCUGGUAUGCAGAAUAUACCAUUUGACAGCAAAAGUAGUCUGUCACAUUACACAUCUGGUAAUGGAAAUCAAAGCACAGUGGUGACCUUUCGAGAGCGGAUGACAGGAAAGAGGCACCAGGAAACUUUUAGGGGGCGACAGAUAUGUUCUAUUGUUUGGAGUGUGAGUUACAUGGAUUUACUAAGCAUUUGUUAAAACUUGUCUGACUGAAGAUCUGUGCAUUGCAGUUUGUAAACUUUACCUCAUUAAAAAAAAUAUUUUAAAACA